rnacentral:rRNA from 1 species
UACGGGGGGAGCAAGCGUUGUUCGGAUUUACUGGGCGUAAAGGGCGCGUAGGCGGCCUCUGCAAGUCGACUGUGAAAUCUCCGGGCUUAACCCGGAAAGGUCAGCCGAUACUGCGGGGCUAGAGUGCAGAAGGGGCAACUGGAAUUCUCGGUGUAGCGGUGAAAUGCGUAGAUAUCGAGAGGAACACCUGCGGCGAAGGCGGGUUGCUGGGCUGACACUGACGCUGAGACGCGAAAGCGUGGGGAGCAAACAGG